GACGAACGCUGGCGGCGUGCUUAACACAUGCAAGUCGAACGGAAAGGCCCCUUUGUUGGUACUCGAGUGGCGAACGGGUGAGUAACACGUGAGUAACCUGCCCUUGACUUCGGGAUAACUUCAGGAAACUGGGGCUAAUACCGGAUAGGAAUCCUUUCUUCAUGGGGGGGGUUGGAAAGCUUCGGCGGUUUUGGAUGGACUCGCGGCUUAUCAGCUUGUUGGUUGGGUAGUGGCUUACCAAGGCUUUGACGGGUAGCCGGCCUGAGUGGGCGACCGGCCACAUUGGGACUGAGAUAAGGCCCAGACUCCUACGGGAGGCAGAAGGGGGGAAUAUUGCACAAUGGGCGGAAGCCUGAUGAAGCAACGCCGCGUGCGGGAUGACGGCCUUAGGGUUGUAAACCGCUUUCAGCAGGGGCGAAGCUUGUGGUGACGGUACCUGCAGAAGAAGCACCGGCUAACUACGUG
rnacentral:rRNA from 1 species